UGGGGAAUCUUGCGCAAUGGGCGAAAGCCUGACGCAGCAACGCCGCGUGCGGGAUGAAGGCCCUCGGGUUGUAAACCGCUUUCAGCAGGGACGAAGAUGACGGUACCUGCAGAAGAAGCCCCGGCCAACUACGUGCCAGCAGCCGCGGUAACACGUAGGGGGCGAGCGUUGUCCGGAUUUAUUGGGCGUAAAGAGCUCGUAGGCGGUUCCGUCAGUCGGGUGUGAAAACUCUGGGCUCAACCCAGAGACGCCACCCGAUACUGCGGUGACUAGAGUCCGGUAGGGGAGUGCGGAAUUCCUGGUGUAGCGGUGAAAUGCGCAGAUAUCAGGAGGAACACCAACGGCGAAGGCAGCACUCUGGGCCGGCACUGACGCUGAGGAGCGAAAGCGUGGGGAGCGAACAGG
rnacentral:rRNA from 1 species